rnacentral:rRNA from 1 species
AACCUCCGCAAUGUGAGAAAUCGCGACGGGGGGAUCCCAAGUGCCAUUCUUAACGGGAUGGCUUUUCAUUAGUGUAAAGAGCUUUUGGAAUAAGGGCUGGGCAAGACCGGUGCCAGCCGCCGCGGUAACACCGGCAGCUCUAGUGGUAGCAGUUUUUAUUGGGCCUAAAGCGUCCGUAGCCGGUUUAAUAAGUCUCUGGUGAAAUCCUGUAGCUUAACUGUGGGAAUUGCUGGAGAUACUAUUAGACUUGAGACCGGGAGAGGUUAGAGGUACUACCGGGGUAGGGGUGAAAUCCUAUAAUCCUGGGAGGACCACCUGUGGCGAAGGCGUCUAACUGGAACGAUCUUGACGGUGAGUAACGAAAGCCAGGGGCGCGAACCGGAUUAGAUACCCGGGUAGUCCUGGCCGUAAACGAUGUGGACUUGGUGUUGGAAUGGCUUUGAGUUGUUCCGGUGCCGAAGGGAAGCUGUUAAGUCCACCGCCUGGGAAGUACGGUCGCAAGACUAAAACUUAAAGGAAGU